CUAAAAGACAACACUCAAAGCCAGCCCUUGUCUGAAAAGCUUGCAGUCCUACGAACAGGCAUACAUUAAGACAGGGAGAGACCAGUUGCAGAAUCUACCCUCUUUACUAGCACCUUCUUCAGAACUCGUACAAUGUGGAAGAAGUCCUGAAAAAAAAUGGAGAAGACUGGAGCCAUUACUGGAGCAUGGGGAGUGAGGACUGACAAGAGCAUUGUCAGCACCCUGGAAGGUACUUCAAAGGGAAACCACCAGUGGAGAGGAAAUGUGUAAAAAUGCAAUUAAAUAGGUAUCUGAAGAGACAAUCCAUGCUGCAUUUUGAGACUUUGAACAUUUGCCCGAAGCAAGCC